rnacentral:rRNA from 1 species
CACGUAGGGGGCAAGCGUUGUCCGGAUUUAUUGGGCGUAAAGAGCUCGUAGGUGGUUCGGUAAGUCAGGUGUGAAACCUCCAGGCUCAACCUGGAGACGCCACUUGAUACUGCUGUGACUGGAGUCCGGUAGGGGAGCGUGGAAUUCCGUGGUGUAGCGGUGAAAUGCGCAGAUAUCAGGAGGAACACCAGCGGCGAAGGCGGCGCUCUGGGCCGGUACUGACACUGAGGAGCGAAAGCGUGGGUAGCAAACAGG